AGUAACACGUAGUCAACCUACCUUACCGUCCGGGAUAACUAGCCGAAAGGUUAGCUAAUACCUGAUACGAUCGUAGAGCGGCAUCGCUUUACGAUGAAAGCAGUAAUGCGCGGUUUGAGGGGGCUGCGGCCCAUUAGCUAGUUGGUGAGGUAACGGCCCACCAGGCAACGAUGGGUAGCUGGUCUGAGAGGACGACCAGCCACACUGGGACUGAGACACGGCCCAG
rnacentral:rRNA from 1 species